rnacentral:lncRNA from 1 species
CUCACUCACGUUUGGAUCACUUUCCUUUCUUCUUACUUCAGCUUCGAACGACGACCACGACUUCCCUUCCCCUUUCUUUUAUCUUCUUCUCUCUCUCCUCCUAAAUCAACCAAUCCCGAGACAGAUUUCAACGCCGUCGUCUACAUGACGUCACACUUUUGUCUGGAAUCAUUGGCCAUUCUCAGCCUUCCCCCCUUCCAUUCUUUAUUCCCUCCUCCUAUUUAUUACUUUAGUCACUUAUAUUCGAAUCAUUCGGCCAAUAUUGAUUUUUUCCAUAUUUUCCCUCCAAAUUCAUCACAGAUUUCAUUCAUCUACGAUGAUGAGCAUUGCGGAUGAUAUCCUCCCAUUUCACCUCUCUAAAACAUUUCGGCAAUAAUUCAAAUAAAUAAUGUCUAUUUAUCAAAACAAAAAAAUUAAAAUGACGCCAAAUCCAUCAUUCCAUGGCCAAACGCCAUGCAAACGCAUUGUGACGUCAUACAAAGAAAGAAAUCAAGUCUAUGACAAAAGGGAAAAAAUUGGGCGUAAACGUCAUUGCAUUUAUUCAUAGACUGAGGUCUUUCUUAAGCACUUGGUUCACGCUCUGAAUGUGUUAAACUCCUCAUAUACGUCUCAUGCAGAACAAUGAUAAUUGCAUACCCAAGACUGAUGCAUGAAUAUGACGUUCAAUAACAUAAAAGGGAAUGUUCUAAGACUCGUGUACUAAAAGAAAAACAACAAUUGGCAAGAUUAGAUGAUUUUAUUAUAUCAAACAAGAUAAUUUAGCUAGCAAUUUUGUUAGUUUUAUGUAUGUCAAAGAGUUACUCUCGCUGCACAUGCACAAACAUACACUAAACUCAAAAAUGUAGCAGAAUAAGUUUGCAAACUUUUUUAGACAGCGUCAUAGUAUUUUACCUAUAAACCUAUAGAGAGGAAAUGAGAUGAAUAGAACAAGUGGAAUACGAUACUAGUACUUUUUGAUAACUACGAAGUGACAAAGUAGGUGAUCAAUCUCUAGGGAUUGGAACAAUGAAUUUCAGUUUUACAACUUGGGACAAUGUCAUUUCUCUCAUAACUGUGAAUAGCUUAUCAAGAGAAUGAGAUGACUUAUGUAUUUAUGCAUUUGGAAUGGAAUCAUCCAAUAACUAAAUACAAGGAAAUAUUAUAGUCAAAUGUUCUGAGAAAAUGACAAAAGAAUAUAUACAUGCAUGUUCAAUGUUCAUAGAAGAGGUCUUAAAAUAUUUUGUAUGUUACGAAAUUUUACAAUAUCCAAUUUGACACUACUCACUGGAGUCGAUUGGUUCUCAAAAUUUUAAUAGUGUUAACCACCUGAUAAAAUACAAAAUCUAUCUCCAAGUAACAUCAUAAUAACCAAACAUAAUACUAAUCGAUGACUACUAUAUAUACUGUACUAAUAUACAAUAACUAAUAAGUAACAUAGGCUCGUCUAUUUAUGACGUUCCUCCACGUAUCAGUCACAAGAGUAACACAGUUUAAAAACCACUGUCGUAGACAAUACAAAAUAAUGGUACUAGUAAAACUGCCCUGGAGAAAAUUGCCAGUGGAAGAUUGUCAUGAAAGAAAACUGCCUAGGAGAAAAUUGCCAGUAUUUUGUUCAAGUUUAAUAACACAUUAUAAAUUAACUUAAUAUUAUUAAUUGCAAAUGUCUAAACAUAUUUGUUUGUUCCAUCCCCUAAGGGAGUACCUUCAUGUUUGAGCAAUAUAUUUACAAUACAA